rnacentral:lncRNA from 1 species
CCUCAAGGCCCAUUUCCCCAUCUCUAUCAUCGGCGGCGGCGGCUCGAGCAGAGGAAAGGAAGCUUUCUACCCUAGCAGAGAAAAAAAAGCAGAGGAGAGGAAGCGGAGGCGACGAUGUCGGCGAUGACGGCGGCGGUGCCCUUCUGGCGCGCGGCGGGGAUGACCUACAUCGGCUACUCCAACGUCUGCGCGGCGCUGGUGCGGAGCUGCCUCAAGGAGCCCUUCAAGACCGAGGUCUCCUCCCGCGAGAAGGUCCACUUCUCCCUCUCCAAGUGGGCCGACGAGAAGCAGCAGAAGCCCAGUAAGUUCCUCGAUCCGAUCAAGUCCCUGUCCCGCGUCCUCGAUCCGGUUUGAUUUGCCUGGCUACGGAAUGAAUCCUAGGGUUCGUGGAUCUGGCUUGGUACUGUUGGAUGUAGAUCUUGGUCUAGGUCUAGCGGUUUACAUGUCUAGGUUGAUCUGCUGGAUUGAAUACGAUCUGAUCAGCGCUGAUGUUUGGUUGGGCCGCGCGUCUUCGCGUGAUUCUGUUGCACACCUGCGUAGAAAUCUGUGCGUCGUUGACGAUGGCACAGAUCUAGUGUGCGUCCUUUUUUUGCCUGUUGGUAGAAAUGUGUUGUGAGGAGGGGAAAAAACUGACCUACGCAAAAGGAUGAUCUUAAAGUUAGCUGUCAGUGUAAUAUACAAGAUUGUUGUGUCAUCUGCUAAGGACUCUGGUAUCAGCUCACUUGAGAUGUAUUGGGAAUUUUAACUCAUCCUAUAGCCUGGAGCUGCUAGAAUCGUAAGAUUAUGUUUUACAGUUUAGUACUUAGUAUUACUUAUUUGCUGGAAAAUAGAGAUGAUUAACCAUGAAUGCAUGAAGUAAUACAUAACGAGGAUCCUACCCUGAGUGUGACCUUGCAUAGGCUGGAUUGGGCGGACAUGAUGGUCCUUAUCGUCUCUGUUCUAUGCAAAAUUUUACCAGAUAAAAAAUAUAUCUAUAUUCCUUUAAAACCAGGAGAAACUGUGGCUCUGUUUGAAGAUUAACUGUAGGAGCCCCACCUGAACUUCUAUGCAGUCAUGGUUAUCGAUUAAUCUCUGCAAGCUUUUCGCAAUAGAUUUCUUUCCCCUGAUGCAAGGAAAAUAUCAUGAGCUUAAUCUGUGGCACCACGUGGCUGCUGCGUGCACUAGAGCAUUCGUGAACUCAUGCUGACGAUAAAGAAACCUCAUGUGGCAAAGGCAUGUGCAAGUCUACUAAUAGAGGGGCUGGUGUGGUAAUAAUUAGCACCCGUAGUUUUCACUUUUCAGAGUCAAUGCAUCAGUACCUCAUAGUUCUGCAAAUGGCUCAAGAUUUGUCAUUACUCUAUUUGUUGAUACAGAGCUGGUAGCAAAGCAGAGGGAGUUUAUUCGGCUGCAUGCAUGAUUGCAUGUGAACACUAAGUAGUGAUCUAUAGCAAUACUGAUUUCGUGUUUCACAUAACUAUCUAUAUUUCUAUUGCAAUUCGUGGAUAUUCUUCCAGGAACUGCAAAAGUAGAUGUAGUUUGGUCUUGGAAUGCUUAGUCCUUGUACAAUGGGAGGUGCUUAGGGAGAUGCUUAGUAAAAUAAACCGAGUUCUUCUUAAGCACCGGUGCUUAUUUCUACAGGACAGACGCUUAAUUAAGCGUUUAUCCUCUACAAAUAAGCACCGGUGCUUAGAGAAAAACUGGUUUAUUUCUCUAAGCAUCUACCCCAAGCAUCUUGCAUUGUACAGGGCCUUAAGUGACUGUUAUGGUUGCUCUCUGAGUGAUUUGCAUGAAGUGUUGCAUCCAACAUCUACGCCUUUCUGAAUAAUUUGCUUAUCCAGCUUCUGUGAUGAUUUUGUACUUUGCAUAUUUAAUGUAUUGCUUUCUUCAUGGUGGUUGGUGGGUAUUGAACCAAGUAGAACCAAAUGAGGCUCUAUUUGCAUGAAGUGUUGCAUCCAAUAUCUACGCCUUUCUGAAUAAUUUGCUUAUCCAGCUUCUGUGAUGAUUUUGUACUUGCAUAUUUAAUGUAUUGCUUUCUUCAUGGUGGUUGGUGGGUAUUGAACCAAGUAGAACCAAAUGAGGCUCUUUCUUGCUUUGAUUCUACUUCAUGAUGUAUUGUUCUCUUGAACACUAACUUGUUUGUUCAUGUUGCAGCUGUGCGCACAGAUGAUGAAUGAAGAUCGGGUGCCAUGGUGAUUGAUGUUUUGAGAAGUUGUUGAGUCAGGGCUUAAGAACUUGAGAAUAAAUUCUUGCGGUGACAAUGGAUCUAUUCCGAUACUAUGUUGUUAUAUUUACUAAUUGCUCCUUUUCUACUUGAUGAACCUGAACCAUGUGAAACUCGUGUCUUGUGGGGCUCGAGUGAGCGUGUUUUUAUGCGUUAUAUCUUCCGAUGCUUUAAUUUGGUAUAUAUUCCAAAGCUUAUGAAUAAACUGUUUUACCCAUGUCACUUGGUGUAUAUCUCUUGGAGCCUUUAUAAAAUAAUAAUAACAAUAAUGCUAAUAAUAAUACUAAUCAAAAACACUUUGAAGUCAUAAUAGCACUCUUAUUAAAAAAUAUGGUCAUGUGUGCUACACACAAAAAAACAUGUGAAUCUACUAUAUAGUAAAGUAUGUUGUAUUUAGGAACACAUUUGAUUCCCCUCAAAAAAAUAGGAACACUGUUUUUUGCAGCAAAAAGAAAUCUUGACCAAAAAUUAUAGGAUCACACUUUGAUUUCUUUUUUAUGAAUCUUCGGUUAUUUACUCUGAUAAUUUGGAGACCCGAUGGACAUGAGCCAAGGCGCCUCUCUAUACGGUCCUUUUGCCGUAGCUGCCAGCAUGUCACGGCAGCACAUGUAAAAGUUAUGUUAUUACUACUAUGUGCUUUUCUUCAGAAACUUGUGCUGUGCAAGUUUGUGUUGCUAAUAACCGGUUAGUGAAUGGUAGCCCUUGACGCAACAUCAAAACGAUUCACAGCCUUGCUAAAUACCAAAAUGUGCUUUCCUUCCAGAGGUUGCAAACCUGUAGCUGCAGCUGAAGGAUGACAUACGCAAAUUCAGCAUUUCACCGAGAUUCAGAACAGAAAGCGCAUGCACAACACAACACACAAAACAGAGCCAUCAAAUGGGCGAUAAACCUCUAACCAAAGAGGUGACACCUAUCGAACGUGGUAAUCCAUCUCUCAUCAUGCGCUGUGCACCAAGGAGAUGCCACAACAUUGUGCACCAAGAGAUGCCACGACAUUGGACGCGGCACAGACACACCAAGGAGAUGCCACGACAUUGGACGCUGUGCACCAAGAGAUGCCACGACAUUGGACGCGGCGCAGACACGACGAAUGAGCACCCUCUUGCCUCAAAGAGACGUUUCCUGUAAAUUUAAAUUUGGCCCAACCAUUACAGUUAGAAUCACGGAGGCCAUUCCCAAUAGAAAUUAUGGAGGCCAUUGCAAAUAGAGUAAGACCCCUUAAUUACAGCUGAUACGGUUAGAACUUGAAGCCGAAAAUAUGCCACAAGUCGAAGAUGUUUUUAUCAAGCCCCGUCGUUUGAGUUCCAAUAGAAGUCACCUCCUUCGGUUGAGUAGCCAUAUGGGAGAUGAGGCCCAUAAACAACACUGCCGUUCAAAAAUGUCAUCUGGUCCACCUGCGAUGCUGCCUGGUAAGCGUCCGGAGCAUUAGCCUGAGCCGUGUUGUUCUGAACUGGGUAGAUGUUUGUGCUGACAUCCUGUGUCCGCGCACGGGCAGUCCGCUUGUUCUCCACAGGACCGUCUGCGCUCAGCCUGACCAUUUGCUGCUGGAUUUCAAUCAGUGGACUGCAAGUGAAUUUUGACUUAGCGCUCUUCUUUGCGUCCGAAGACUUGAAUUCAAGCCGGUAUAAGGCAAAAGCGUCGCGAUCGUUGAUCUCGUAUUCAUAGAGGUGCCAUUCGUAGCUGCUAGAUGGCUGUGGGUCCAUGUAGUAUGAUCUCUUCAGACCCCCAAAGUCUUUCAUCACCUGCUUCCUUGAUUCAUGCCAGCCACGGCCGUUGUAAUCUGGCAGCGACCUUUGCUUCCGGUUUCCACUGUCGAAUGCCCUUCUUGGUUUGUCAAAGAAAAGCCAUUCUCUCAUAGAUUCACCUUCAAAGAUGUAAAGGUCGAAAAGUUCUGCAAAUGAUAGAAAUUAACAAACAGUCAGGACAUAAUUACCGGUACCAAUACAAAUGUAAGAACAUGAGUUAUGUGGCAAGAAGUUACCAGGUGCAUUCCAAGGGGAUUUCGUAGUUGCAGCCCCUUCACAGACAGGAACACCGACAUGCUUUCCUUGGAUUUUUGCACUAAGAGCGGCAAACAAAGGGCCAUCUUUUAGAUCAAUACCUCUCGGGCGGAUCACAGGCAUUGUGCCUGGAGGGCCCUCUUCCUUCACGGCCAAUUCAGCAUGGUACAUGCUGCAGUAAUCUUGCCAGCUUUCAGAUCCUUGAGCAGGCCGAGGGCAGUCCCAGAGAGCGCACUUUGGCCUCAGAAAUGAAGCAGGUGCUGGAGACAUUGUUGUGAGCAAGUCUGACAUGUGCAGGAAACCAUCUCCAGCAUUCUGCCCAUAGUUGUUCAUAUCAAGAUAUGCAUUAGGGGGCAACUCUUGUGGCAAAUUGAACUGCAGAUAUUCUUGGUGACCAAUCCCUUCAAGGUUAUUGAGGAUUUCUGGAUUGGACCCAGGAAGGUUUAUCUUGUAAUCAUCGUCGUAAAGAAAAUCCUCAACACUAAGCUCCUGGUUCACAUAGUACAUCUGGAAGGGCAUGGCAAAACCUUGUUAAAUUUAGCUCAGUUAUGUCAAAAUUAGAACUCGAGAAAUGGAGGUGACAGAGAGAUGGCAAAACUCCAAAAGACCUAGCACUGAACCUAAACAAGAUGUCAUGCAGAAAGCAUAAAACACUGGUGGCUCUUCUAAACAAUGCAAGAUGAUUGAUGAUCUUAGCGCUGAGAUGACCCCUUCUCCAGAAAUUCACUAUGCUAUGCCUGCAGGCAGCACAAUCCCAACUAAUCCAGGGCAGAGGUACAAGAUUAUGUGACGCUUCACCCUACGCGUGCAAGUAUAAAAGACAAACCCAUGUACAGCACGAAUUUCCUUGGUUUGAUUCAAACCAAAUAAAUAAAAAACAUAAGGAAACCAUGGAUGUCUCUGAAGUAGCGCUUCCACGUUUGGUAGCUCGUGCAAGGAAUGCAGGUGGACGCGGCUCCGCCUGCAUCCAAUAACUACUUUUGCCAGCUGUGUCACACAAAGCUGGAAAUCACCACUCUUCUUGAAUGCAGCUUGAGCUUGGUAAGACAGGUUUUGGAGGGAGGCUUUUAUGGUUAAGAUCACCAGGCUUCGUUCUUCUUGUGGUUCAUGAGCAGAAGCAAGCAGUAGAUAGAGGACGUCUAAAAAGGCCAAGUAUGGAGACUUCGGAUGGUAAAGGAUUGUUUUUUUUUUCAAAAUAAGAAAAUCCCUGUGCAUGAUCUUCUAGCGUGAAUAAGGCAGGGGGCAGAAAGUAGGAUCCCGUUGUAUCCUUCACCUCUGAAAUUUGUCGUGAUGGUGAUUUGAUUUUGCUAGGCUACUAGACACAGUAUCCAACGUUGGUUGGUUCCUUUUUCCUUGCUCCUCGUCCUUUAGAACUAUCCUUUGCUUUUGGUUUGCAGGGUUUUUCCCACCCCUAACUGAAUGAAGUAGAAACUGCUACUUCUACAAAAACUUUGACCAGUGUCUGCGCUUAUCGUAUAUGUGCUGGUGCCAAAAUUUAGUAUGUGGUAGCGCACAGCAGAAGAAGAAAAGGCGUCAGCAGGGGUAUCACACAAGCAUGCUAAGGGGGUAGAGAAGCAGGCAGAAAAGGAAACCAAAAUGGAUGAUAUCCUAACUUAAGAUGAAAAACAAAGCACCCUUGUACCCCAUAAGAUGGUUAAAGACAAAAAAAAAACUUACUUUUUGUCUCAAAUAUUACUACAAAUCAGCUUAACAAUUUUUUUUUCAGAACCCAC